GCUCUGAAGGAUUUGCACGUGGGUCUGCCUGUUAAUGGGGAUGUGCUGGUGUAAUGAGCUUUUAAUUAGGUCAGCUCCAUGCUUGACCACACAGAACUGUUGGGCCACGUCUGAGGAGCCUACUCACGGGUACGGAACACAGGUUGUUCUAAUCACUGAGAGGGAAAUGGAGGCCUCUCUGAGCAAAUCCAGUGUGUAAGCCACCACCCAAACACUGAUGACACCCAGAAUUGUCCUAUGUCUCCUGGGAAACCACCACAGCAUCUCUGUUCUAAAUUGUCCACUGCUCCCACUGGUUGUUUACCUUCGAAGAACCACAUCAAGAAAAAAGGGGAUUAUAAGCUCCACAAGAACAGGGACACGGUCUGUUCGACUCACCACUGCAUAACCCAUGCCUGGCAUUUUGGAUGACCUCAAAAAAAGAGCUGUUGAAUAAAUCAGUGCAAUUGAAGCCUCAGUUGAUCUUCUGAGGAACUCUGGAGCUGAGAUGACCCUUCAGAGAUGUCUGAAUGAAGGAUCCUCCCAGAAGAAGAUGUCCUAACUUCAGUGCAACAAAAACCUGAGCGAUAACAUCAGAUUUUGCCAGAAUGGAGUUACAUCCUGGCUGUCAUACAGAAACCCAGGCCUCCGACAGUGAGCACACUAUUAUGCCACAUUCUUUCAACAACUCCAGGAGAAUGGAGGAAAACAAUGACAUGGGUAAUUUAAAA